UACGUAGGGGGCAAGCGUUGUCCGGAAUCAUUGGGCGUAAAGAGCGUGUAGGCGGCCCGAUAAGUCCGCUGUGAAAGUCCAGGGCUCAACCCUGGAAUGCCGGUGGAAACUGUCGGGCUAGAGUCCGGAAGAGGCGAGUGGAAUUCCUGGUGUAGCGGUGAAAUGCGCAGAUAUCAGGAGGAACACCGAUGGCGAAGGCAGCUCGCUGGGACGGUACUGACGCUGAGACGCGAAAGCGUGGGGAGCAAACAGG
rnacentral:rRNA from 1 species